rnacentral:tmRNA from 1 species
GGGGUUGACUGGAUUUGACGGCGAGAUGAAAUGGUACGUAAGCAUGCGGAGGCUCGUUGGCUACCUCCUUAAUCCUAGUGAACAAAAAAUUAAUUGGCGAAAAUAACUACGCUCUCGCUGCCUAGUCGAA